UCGAAAUGAUGAAUGGGGAGCAGCCCCGCCCUUUGCACCCGCCCAGAGAGGUUUUAUGGAGUGUGCGCAGUGCGCUGCUAGAGUCUUGCUUUGCAGAGAGACGAGAAAAGAGGAGUGAGCUCGGGGUGCUCGGCUUGCCAAGGGUUAAAAGCAACGGGGCUGGAUUCCUAGAGAGGAGAGGAGAUGAAAGAGGGGAGAAGUCCUCCAGUGCAAAAGCCCCUCCCUCCCCAGUGCCUCCCUGCGAGGGAAGGCGGGGCAUAUUUUGACAGCCCCUUCUGCCUGGGUGGCGCCUCCUGGGACCUGAAUUUGGUAUCACUUCUGAUUUGGACAGACAGAACUUGGCAGAAGACCAAAGGAUUCCUUCUGAUCUCUUGGAGGCUUCUUGAGAGCCCAGAUGGAUGAGCAAGACUCAGCUGGCCCUGAAGCAGGAAGGGGCCAUGUCAUCAACACUGGGAGCAGUGAGGGAUUCUGGGAAAGCUCUGUGCAGAAGAUCCUGGGUGAGGAGGACACCCUCCGCUCAGAUGUGCAGAG